UACGAAGGGGGCUAGCGUUGCUCGGAAUUACUGGGCGUAAAGCGCACGUAGGCGGAUUGUUAAGUCGGGGGUGAAAUCCUGGAGCUCAACUCCAGAACUGCCUUCGAUACUGGCGAUCUCGAGUUCGGGAGAGGUGAGUGGAACUGCGAGUGUAGAGGUGAAAUUCGUAGAUAUUAGGAAGAACACCAGUGGCGAAGGCGGCUCACUGGUCCGGUACUGACGCUGAGGUGCGAAAGCGUGGGGAGCAAACAGG
rnacentral:rRNA from 1 species